GUAUACUUAAAAAGUCUACUUUUACUCUAUUUUGAAAGUGAGUUUACUUUCUUUUUUUGUUUUUAAUGAAUAGGACUCAGGAUUUAAAGACAAAAAAGCAUCAUAUUCCAGUGAUUGAUCGAACUCCACUAGAGCCCCCACCAAUAGUGGUAGUGGUGAUGGGGCCUCCAAAGUUGGAAAGAGCACUUUGAUAUAAUGCCUCAUUCAGAACUUCAUUGGCAGAAGUUGACUGAGAUCAGAGGCCCUGUGACGAUUGUGUCAGGUAAAAAGCGCAGACUCACCAUUAUUGAAUAUGGGUGUGACAUUAACAUGAUGAUUGAUCUGGCUAAAGUAGCAGAUCUGGUAAGUCAGCAGGGGCAGCCUGGGGUGCCGAUGGAGACUCACAGCAUUGUGAUAGGUUAUUUACCCCGUGAUGAAGGGAAGAGACUUUUGUGAUUAUUAAAGGAAUCAUCGUCAUCAUCAGAGAUAUAGUAGAUGUGAUUGAAUUGAUGAUAAUAAUAAUAGGAAUAAAUGUUGUCAUAUUAAUAAUACAAAUGGAAUGUGCACAAUGAAAUGUAUUCCAAACUCUAAAAGCAAAUCACAGGAUGGAGAAAACCUUUAAUGAACACAGCUAAUAAGAGCUCAUUUACAUGCAUACAUAUAUAUGUACGAAUAUAUCAUAGUAAGUACCAUUUCUUCUUGGACCCUUCCUGGCACUGUGCUAACUGCUUUCUACAAAUUUAGCUUACAUAAACCCUUGAUACACCCUUGAGGUGAGUAGGUAUUAUCUGUAGUUUACAUAAGAUGAAAUAGAGCCUCCCAGCAGUUAAGUAACUUGUGUGAAGAUGGGACCCUUGUUCCUGAUGGUUCUAGAACCUUCAUCCUUAAUGAUAAUGCUAAAGUAAGUACAUGAAUUGCCUGAAGAAGUGGUCAGAGUUUAUCAAUAGAAAAUUCAGACAGUACUCAGUGUAUGGAAAAUGUACACGCUCUUGCAUUUAUGGAAAUGAUAAUGUUCACUAUUUCUGACAUUCUAUUAACUGUCUUUUAAAUUAGCAAAAAUAAAAUACAAAUUAGCAAAAAAGAAAAAAAAAGUCCAGAUGCAGUGGCUCACACCUGUAAUCCCAGCACUUUGGGAGGCUGAAGUGGGCGGAUCACCUGAGGUUGGGAGUUCGAGACCAGCCUGACCAACAUGCAGAAACCCCGUCUCUACUAAAAAUACAAAAUUAGCCAGGUGAGGUGGCGUAUGCCUAUAAUCCCAGCUACUUAGGAGGCUGAGGCAGGAGAAUCGCUUCAGCCUGGGAGGCGGAGGUUGUGGUGAGCCAAGAUCGCGCCAUUGUACUCCAACCUGGGCAACAAGAGCGAAAUUUCAUCUACAAAAAAAAAAAAAAAAAAAAAAAUUAGCAAAAAAAUAAGCCAUAUUGAUUAGGAAGUGUGAGGUGACAGAUAGCUUGGUUUUUUCAUUUUUAUUUAGUUUUUUCUAGAGCUACAGAUUCUAUACUUUGGCCCAGGGAAACUCCUAAAAUAUAAAGUAAAAAGUAAUACAGAUUUUAAAGUUAUACCAUUGUAAUGUCAGAAAACUAAAUAAUGUUCAAAUUUUGAACAUGUAAUGCUACUAUUAGUAAAAAUAAGUGUUAUUAAUGUAAAGUUGUGUAAAGAUUACUAAAUCUUGUAUACUUGAAAUGAUUGAAAUAGUUCAUAGAAGUCAUUUGUUUCUCUUUUAUUUAAAACGUAGCAAGUUUCUAAUUUUAAAGAUAUACAUAUUAAGAGAUGCCUUUACUUUUUUUAUUUUAGUUGUUAUGGAUACAUAAUAGUUGUACAUAUUUAUGGGGUACACGUAGUAUUUUGAUAGAAGCAUACAAUGUGUGAUGAUCAAAUCAGGGUAAUUCAGAUAUCCGUCGCUUCAAACAUUUAUCAUUUCUUUGUGUUAGGAACAUUUUAAUUUCAUUCUUUUAGUUAUUCUGAAUUAUAUAAUAAAUUAUAGUCACCCUGGUGUGCUGUUGGACACUAGAAUUUAUUCCAGCUGUAUUUUUUUCUUUUUUUUUUAUCAUUAUUAUACUUUAAGUUUUAGGGUACAUGUGCACAAUGUGCCGGUUAGUUACAUAUGUAUACAUGUGCCAUGCUGGUGUGCUGCACCCAUUAACUCGUCAUUUAGCAUUCGGUAUGUCUCCUAAUGCUAUCCCUCCCCCCUUCCCACACCCCACAACAGUCCCCAGAGUGUGAUGUUCCCCUUCCUGCGUCCAUGUGUUCUCAUUGUUCAAUUCCCAUCUAUGAGUGAGAACAUGUGGUGUUUGGUUUUUUUGUCCCUGCAAUAGUUUACUGAGAAUGAUGAUUUCCAAUUUCAUCCAUGUCCCUACAAAGGACAUGAACUCAUCAUUUUUUUAUGGCUGCAUAGUAUUCCAUGGUGU
ensembl:lincRNA